rnacentral:lncRNA from 1 species
AAAUCAUCUUUGGCAUCGAAUUCUUAAUUUUCAAAAGUUUGUGAAGAAAGAGUGGAGGUGCCAGUUUGUGCUCUCAUUUUUAUGAAGCAAUCGACCAGAAUCCGACCACGUCACCAUCUCGGAGCCAGAGACCCACCGGGCUCACAGAGCUCCACCGCCUCGUGUGACAUCCAUCCCUGGCUGCCCAGGCUCUCAGGUGAAGUCUGAGCUGCUCCUGCCUCUGCGGACU